rnacentral:rRNA from 1 species
UGGACAACAGGUAGAGAUUCCUGUACCAGUGCUAAUUGUUUAACCGAUGGGGUGACACAGAAGGAUAGGGAAUCGCACGAAUGGAAAUGUGCGUCCAAGCAGUGAGUGUGAGAAGUAGGCAAAUCCGCUUCUCGCGAAGCAUGAGCUGUGAUGGGGAAGGAAAUUAAGUACGGAAGUUCCUGAUUUCACGCUGUCAAGAAAAGCCUCUAGGAAGAGUAGUACUGCCCGUACCGCAAACCGACACAGGUAGAUGAGGAGAGAAUCCUAAGGUGAGCGAGAGAACUCUCGUUAAGGAACUCGGCAAAAUGACCCCGUAACUUCGGGAGAAGGGGUGCUCUAUUAGGGUGCAAGCCCGAGAGAGCCGCAGUGAAUAGGCCCAGGCGACUGUUUAGCAAAAACACAGGUCUCUGCAAAACCGUAAGGUGACGUAUAGGGGCUGACGCCUGCCCGGUGCUGGAAGGUUAAGAGGAGUGCUUAGCUUCGGCGAAGGUACGAAUUGAAGCCCCAGUAAACGGCGGCCGUAACUAUAACGGUCCUAAGGUAGCGAAAUUCCUUGUCGGGUAAGUUCCGACCCGCACGAAAGGCGCAACGAUCUGGGCACUGUCUCAACGAGAGACUCGGUGAAAUUAUAGUACCUGUGAAGAUGCAGGUUACCCGCGACAGGACGGAAAGACCCCGUGGAGCUUUACUGCAACCUGAUAUGGAAUGUUUGUACCGCUUGUACAGGAUAGGUAGGAGCCGAAGAGACGUGUGCGCUAGCAUACGAGGAGGCAAUGGUGGGAUACUACCCUGGCUGUAUGACCAUUCUAACCCGCCACGCUUAGCGCGUGGGGAGACAGUGUCAGGUGGGCAGUUUGACUGGGGCGGUCGCCUCCUAAAGAGUAACGGAGGCGCCCAA